ACUUUCCAUACAUUGAUCAUGUGGUAGAGAAUUUGGAGAAGAGGUUUCCAGAUUUACCUCUGUGAGAAAGCUUUUCUGUAUUUGAUCCCAACAGUAUUCCUGAAGAUCCAGAAGAAGCUGAUGGUUAUGGCAGGGAGCAAAUAGAGAUCCUCUCAGACCACUUCAAAAUGGAUUUGGUGCCAUUAAACCAGGAGUGGAGGCUACUGAAGAAUACCAUUCAAACUGAUGACAGCCUCAAGUCACUAUCUGCUAGUAUGGUCAUGCAGCAAUUGGCUGGCAAGUUAGCAGCAGGUUUUCCUCUGUUGUCAAGUCUAUCAGCUGUUGGCUUAUUAUUACCUACAUCAACUGCAGAUUGUGAAAGGGGGUUUUCAACCCUAAAGAGGAUAAAGACAGAGUUGAGGAACAGACUGUCAAAUAAAAUAACAAACUGUCUAGUAACAAUAUCACUAGAAGGAGCAGAGAGCACAGAGAUAAAUAUUUCUGAAGUUGUUCAGUACUGGAAGGCCCAGAAGAACAGGAGGAUCUUUUCAUGAACUAUAUUUACAUUUUGACUUCUAAUUGACUGUAA